AUGCACGCUGGCGGCGUGCUUAACACCUGCAAGUCGAACGAAGCAUUUAAGACAGAUUACUUCGGUUUGAAGUCUUUUAUGACUGAGUGGCGGACGGGUGAGUAACGCGUGGGUAACCUGCCUCAUACAGGGGGAUAGCAGCUGGAAACGGCUGGUAAUACCGCAUAAGCGCACAGUACCACAUGGUACAGUGUGAAAAACUCCGGUGGUAUGAGAUGGACCCGCGUCUGAUUAGCUAGUUGGCGGGGUAACGGCCCACCAAGGCGACGAUCAGUAGCCGACCUGAGAGGGUGACCGGCCACAUUGGGACUGAGACACGGCCCAGACUCCUACGGGAGGCAGCAGUGGGGAAUAUUGCACAAUGGAGGAAACUCUGAUGCAGCGACGCCGCGUGAGUGAAGAAGUAGUUCGCUAUGUAAAGCUCUAUCAGCAGGGAAGAUAGUGACGGUACCUGACUAAGAAGCUCCGGCUAAAUACGUG
rnacentral:rRNA from 1 species